CGGGGGAGGCCGGGUCCUGGGCUGUGUCCCGGCGCCCUGUGCUCCGGGGACUGCGCUGGUGGAUUCCGUGCUCCCCGCCCCCACAGCCCCCC
rnacentral:pre_miRNA from 1 species